CUUCCUCUCUCCGUUCAUGCGACGGCGGCUCGAGUUAUCCUCCGAUCAGAGACGGCGCACAUCUCCAUCUCCGGCGAAGUCUCUCUCGAUCUCUGCUCGUCUCAAUCGAUCCACUCUCCGAUUAAGAACGCGGCGGUCCUCCUUCCCUCACGAAUUGCAAGGGCGCUCGGAAUCACAACACAAAUCAUCAUCUCCGAUUGGAGCUCCUUCGCCACCGUGACCAAAAAAAUGGAGUUCUCUUCUCUCUCUCUGAAUCAAAUCAAGUCUCAGUCUCUCUCUUGCGAUCGUCUCUUCUCCUCGUCAAUCUUAAUUUUCGAUCGCAAAUCAUUCCAAAGUAAGUGAUUCUAUCUUUUCGAUAUCUUCCUUCAAUCCGCUUGUGCCUCCCUUUACCUCUUCUGAUCCUCGCGCUUUUCUUGUGGUUGUUCCGCCGAGAUUUCACCGCGAAGAUGAUGUUGAAGUUGCUUACAGAUUGAAGCUUGUUAAGGAGUAAAUUGCAACCGUGAAGAUCUUCAGAGAAAGAUUGAAGAAGGUUUGAAGGAAGAUUGAAGAAUCGUGUUGAUGGUGAAUGAAGAUUGGAGAAGGUUCAAGAUUCAGUUAGAGGUUGAUGAAGAUGAAUUGAGAGGAUGAAGAUGAAGAAGAUUAUGGAUGAUCGAUGGUGGAGUUGGUUAUGAAGAUUCAAGAGAGGAUUGAAGGAUUAUUGAAAAUGAUGGAGAGAGAUUGAAAGAUGAUGAUGAAUUGUGAAGCGAAUCGAUGCCGAGAUGGUGAAGAUUGAAUUGGAUCUUGAAGAAAGUUUGUUACAGGCUGCAGAGAUCUCUUUUUUUUACAAAGCAUGGUUGCAAGCUGGGGGCUGUUUUGGAGCACGGAUGCAUUUUGGCAAGGCGUGAAUUCUUUUGGCGCAAAUAUCUGAGGGCCUUGGGUGUAAUUUUUGGUUUUAGAACAUGUAAUGGCACCACCGAAUGUACUAUUGAAGAGAGAUAAUGAAUGUAAUUGAUGGAACUUUUGAAUGGAUUUCAU